AGAUAUUCUCUGAGACCGGGAACGUCACUGCUCUCCCCGGGAAGCUGCUUUAGGCACAGUGCUCCUGCCUGACUCGGGAAGACUGCUCUCCUGGCCUCCUGGAAGUCAUAUGGGAAACAGGAAUGUGCCUUUGAAGCCCUAAGCUGCCAUAUAUAUGGCUACUGUGAACACGCUGGCUACUGUGCUACAAAGAUCACACGGAGAGAACAGAUACAGAGAAACAGAGAGAGAUUCCUGGGGAACCCUAGCUGCUUCAGUUCCUAGCUUUUGAGGCAUCCCAAACCAGAGGCCAGAUGCGUGAAUGAAUGAGCUCUUGGAUGAUGGCAGCUGCAACCUUUUAGUCUUCUAGCUGAGGCCCCACACACUGUAAAACAGAGAGAAAAAAAAACCCAGUGUCUUGUCUGAAUUUCUGAAA
rnacentral:lncRNA from 10 species